CUGUCGAAUCCUGCAGAGAUGCGGGAGUGCCGCAAGGAACGACAAGACAGGUGCUGCAUGGCUGUCGUCAGCUCGUGUCGUGAGAUGUUGGUUAAGUCCGCAACGAGCGCAACCCUUGUCCCUAGUUGCCAGCACGUAAUGGUGGGAACUCUAGGGAGACUGCCGGUGACAAACCGGAGGAAGGUGGGGAUGACGUCAAGUCCUCAUGGCCCUUACGGCCAGGGCUACACACGUACUACAAUGGUCGGUACAGAGGGUUGCGAAGCCGCGAGGCGAAGCCAAUCCCAGAAAACCGAUCCCAGUCCGGAUCGGAGUCUGCAACUCGACUCCGUGAAGUCGGAAUCGCUAGUAAUCGCGAAUCAGCUAUGUCGCGGUGAAUACGUUCCCGGGCCUUGUACACACCGCCCGUCACACCAUGGGAGUUGGCUGCACCAGAAGCAGGUAGUCUAACCGCAAGGAGGACGCCUACCACGGUGUGGUCAAUGACUGGGGUGAAGUCGUAACAAGGUAAGCGUAGCGAG
rnacentral:rRNA from 1 species